ACCGUUACCAAGGCCUACCCUGGCUCUGCCUCUACCUGCCAAACGGUAAACAAAGCCCCUGGGAGAACUCCGGUGAGCUGAACACCUUGGUCAAACACUAAGCAAACCACCACCAGGUGUGCUUGCAGAACAGACUCUCCAUCAGCGUCCUGUCAUGCAGAAAAUGUUUAUCCAAUUUGUCAAGAUAAUCUUUCCUCAAAUAAGCCUUGGGCCUACUCCUUGGAACAGCCUGAAUUUAGUCGGUAUAAUGUAACUCUAUUUUUUUCACCCGUUUUCCUUUAAUCGCUGUGUCAACUUCUCCCUGGCUUUAAGCAAACUGAAAGUAAUUAUAUCAUUCUUAAGUGAGUAAUCUUUUGACUGGGUUAGCUGAUUCGUGAGUUACUCUAAAAUUCUUCUAAACUCUGCAGUCCUUUUCCAAACACAUUUUCUUAGAUGUUUCACAAAGUUCAGCUCAUCGAUGACCCAUGGAUGUGUUUAUUCUUUCACAUUUUGAGGCUACGCCAUGACUGUAUUAGGCCAUGUGAGAAGAAGCUGAUCCCAUCCAUGCCUCUGAGUACACAACUGGGAAUAGCAGCUGAUGGAGCGAUCAAUCCAAGUGGCAAAUCUGGAGAUGUCACUACCUUGCUUGAAGCGUGUCAGUGGUUCUCAUGGUAAAGAAAAAAUCCAAAUUCGAUGGCAUGGCAAGUCCUAUGCCCUUUCAUAAACUUCUGUGCUUAAAUCUCCAGCUUGGAGAUUCUGUCUCACUUCUGUCUCCAACUGUACCUGCCUUCUCAGCCUCCAUCCAGCAGUGGAAACUCUCUCUCUCCUAACUCCUGCCAAUCUUCCAGGUCUUAACUUAAUGUACCCUCUCCAGAAAGCCAUCCUUGAUUUCUCCUAGGCCUCCUAUGUGCCUCUACCGACCUGAUGCCUACUCUCUUGGCUGAGGUGUUGUCAUUUCUUAUUAUAAUCACAUGUUUAAUGGUCUGUCUUCACUGCUAGACUAUAAACUCUAUGAGGAAAGCACCCCUGCUCUUGUUGUUCCGUGUGAUACCCUUGUGUCUAAUUGGUACUUGAUGCACAGUUGGACCUGAAUGAAUAUUUAUUUAUUGAAUGAAAUCUUUGCAUUUUCCAAACUCCUCCCCCAACUUUUAGAUUUUUUUUUUUUUUUUUUAAUAUACACAUGUGUGGCACCUGGGUGGCUCAGUCAGCUAAACAUCUGCCUUCGGGUCAUGUCAUGAUCUCAGGGUCCUGGGAUUGCCCCACAUCAUCAUUAUCAGGGCUCCCUGUGCAGUGGGGACUCUGCUUCUCCCUCUCCCUCUGCCCCUUCCCCCCACUCCCACUUGUGCUCUCUCUCGAAUAAAUGAAUAAAAAUUUUAAAAAAUAUACA
rnacentral:lncRNA from 12 species